UUGGUCCUCAGAUCCAGCAUCCUUCACUCAUUUCCAGUGAUCCCAAGGUCCUCACAACAUGCUACCACAUAAACUGGGGCCACUCGAGAUCUUGCUACCAACACUACUUGCCACAGGAUGCUCCUUCACAGCCUUUCUGCCCCAGGGAUCUGUCAUUGAACUCAGCCUGAGUCCAGCAGCAUUCACUCAAAACUCCCACUGGAUCUAGAAGGAACAUUAAAUAAAACCAGCUGCACUUUGCUGUCACAGCCUAAGUGCAUUAAUGUCUUUUUAUCUACAUGGGGGCACUGCAGCUGACCCCUGUUUCCAUGCAAUUGGUGUUAAUAAAAUCUUUCUCUGCAGAAGUGACAAGGGAAAGAUACACUUCAAUUGGCAUGUUUUAUCUGAAUUUAAAUUUGAGUGCGAGUCUCAUGAUUCAUAAAAACCUGCGUUGAUAACUCUGAACCACGACCCUCCUCUGAGACCAGCUUUUGGGCUGACUAUUUCUGAAGAAAAUGCUUAGGAAACAUCUAUAUAAGGCAGCCCCCAGCGCUGGCUUACAAUCAAGUCAUCUUUGAAACACUUAUUUCAGCCAGUUUAGGUUACUUGCACUGCAAAAUUAGAAGCAAAAAUUGUCCACAGACAAAGAAUUAUAAAGAGCAUACGGGAAAUAAGAUACAGAAUAGGUCUUGAAUCUUGGACGAAAACUGGUUAGGUUAGAUUUAUGUAAGGGUCCUUCGAGCCAAGAAGCAGUAAGCUGAAGCUAAACCUGAGGAAAUUAAAAUAGCUGUUACAGCCUCUUUUUCAGCAAGCGUGGGCAAAGGAGGACAGUAGCUGCAGUCUGUAGCUGAACACAGCUGUCCAACAGCUCCACAGGAGGAAGAAAUGCUAUUGCAAUAGGUGGGAAAGAAGAAGAGAACUGGGCAUGCAGCUGAGCAAGAAACACCUGGCUGGAUCCCUGGAUGCAGCAAUAAAGGAGAGAAAGCUAGUAAGUAUUUUUGGCUACCUACAGAAGCAGGAGGAACAUCUCUGAGGCAUAACAGGCAAAAGGAGAGGUAUGACUGCUGCAGAUGAAGACACAGCCCAGCAACUCUGACAACUUCAGGAUGACAACUCAAGCUUGCAAGGGUCACUGCUUUCCCAGGCAGCACUUCAGAAUCCAAAACCCCUUCUGUGAGCAUGGGGGAAUGGACCAAACCCCCUCAGAGAUAUUCUCUGACAAUAAGUGCACUUAAACUUCUGAUGUGCUCAGAUACAGGGAGACAGAAGCCGGGACAGAAGGAUACAUCUCUCCUGCAAGGCACUGGAGCAUAGCAGCCCAGCAGGAUCUUGCCUUCAGCUAGGAGAAUGCCCUUGUAAUGUUCUCCCUUUUAAAAUCUUUAUGCUUUGA